rnacentral:tRNA from 1 species
CCGGCAGCGGAUCGCGCGGUCGGGGAUGGUGCCGCUUGGUGCGGUGGAGGGUCUGGCGUUGUUCGAUGCGGCGUUGUCCGUC